rnacentral:sRNA from 1 species
AAAAACCAUCAAAACC